CGGGCUAAAUCGGUGGUGACCGCUCCCGAAACGGAGCUUCCCUUCGGGGCACCAUCGAAGGUGCUGCAUGGCUGUCGUCAGCUCGUGCCGUGAGGUGUUGCCUUAAGUGGCGCAACGAGCGCAACCCCUGUGGUUAGUUACCAGCACGUUAUGGUGGGGACUCUAGCCAGACUGCCUACGCAAGUAGUGAGGAAGGUGGGGAUGACGUUUGCGUAACAGAA
rnacentral:misc_RNA from 1 species